CAGCAGCCGCGGUAAGACGAACCGUGCAAACGUUACUCGGAAUCACUGGGCUUAAAGCGCACGUAGGCGGCGACAUAAGUUAGAGGUGAAAUCCCAUCGGCUCAACCGUGGAACUGCCUCUAAUACUGUGUUGCUUGAGGGGGAACGGGGCAUUCGGAACUUCCGGUGGAGCGGUGAAAUGUGUUGAUAUCGGAAGGAACGCCGGUGGCGAAAGCGGAAUGCUGGGUCUCUUCUGACGCUGAGGUGCGAAAGCUAGGGUAGCGAACGGGAUUAGAUACCCGAGUAGUCCCUGUCUCUUAUA
rnacentral:rRNA from 1 species